AAUGGCCAGAGUCAUAGCCAGCAGGGUGACAUUGAAUAUUGGUGUAUAUUUAAAAUAUGUAGAGGGCCACCUAAACUCGUUUGAGAUCGUUACUUAAUUGAGAUAAUAUCUACCAAGUGAGGCAGGAUGGAUGGUUGAAGAAAAUUUAUCAGUUUCUGCAUAUGAAUUUGCCUGACUCAAAAACUGUGAUAGAAAAUUGUGCCUGGACUUUGACAGCAUAUACAGCCAAUGAAACAUAUAGUUAUAUAUUAGCACAGAAUUAUACUGUCUUUGGUACAACAUGGAUCAAUGUAGCCAACCUCAAUUGGAUUGGGACUAAGCCUUCAUUAAUAGUGAAUGUUCUUGUUAAACGCGGCAUCAUUUACAUUGUUAACGAUGACGAAAAUGAAUAUGGCAGGGAGCAAACUGUCAUAAAAGAUUAUUAAGCAGCAUCAUGGGUUAUGGAAAAAUCUGGUCGUGAGACAUGUUUUAAACUAUUAUUCUCUAUGAAAAUUUGUCUGUGUCCCUGAUACUUGUGGCCUCUUUUUAUAAUAAAAUAUAUAAAAAAAAUGCUUGUUUUACAUUGCUGCUCUUUUGGUGUGUCUUUUAUU
rnacentral:misc_RNA from 1 species